rnacentral:ncRNA from 2 species
UUACAUUAACGUCACUACGGUUUUCAACUUUUAAUCAAACGUUGAAAUAAAAGGGAAUUCGGUACGGGUUAACAUGUAAUGUCUAACCUCAAGCCAAAGCUGCCCCCGCAACUGUAAUUAGCGAGUUGUUUUGAUUAGCUGCCACUGCAUUGUUUGAUGUGGGAAGGCCUAAAAACAAUGAAGACCUAAGAGCCAGGAGACCUGCCGUCAGUAUUUUCACCUU